UUGAACGCUGGCGGCAGGCCUAACACAUGCAAGUCGAACGGUAACAGGAAGAAGCUUGCUUCUUUGCUGACGAGUGGCGGACGGGUGAGUAAUGUCUGGGAAACUGCCUGAUGGAGGGGGAUAACUACUGGAAACGGUAGCUAAUACCGCAUAACGUCGCAAGACCAAAGAGGGGGACCUUCGGGCCUCUUGCCAUCGGAUGUGCCCAGAUGGGAUUAGCUAGUAGGUGGGGUAACGGCUCACCUAGGCGACGAUCCCUAGCUGGUCUGAGAGGAUGACCAGCCACACUGGAACUGAGACACGGUCCAGACUCCUACGGGAGGCAGCAGUGGGGAAUAUUGCACAAUGGGCGCAAGCCUGAUGCAGCCAUGCCGCGUGUAUGAAGAAGGCCUUCGGGUUGUAAAGUACUUUCAGCGGGGAGGAAGGGAGUAAAGUUAAUACCUUUGCUCAUUGACGUUACCCGCAGAAGAAGCACCGGCUAACUCCGUGCCAGCAGCCGCGGUAAUACGGAGGGUGCAAGCGUUAAUCGGAAUUACUGGGCGUAAAGCGCACGCAGGCGGUUUGUUAAGUCAGAUGUGAAAUCCCCGGGCUCAACCUGGGAACUGCAUCUGAUACUGGCAAGCUUGAGUCUCGUAGAGGGGGGUAGAAUUCCAGGUGUAGCGGUGAAAUGCGUAGAGAUCUGGAGGAAUACCGGUGGCGAAGGCGGCCCCCUGGACGAAGACUGACGCUCAGGUGCGAAAGCGUGGGGAGCAAACAGGAUUAGAUACCCUGGUAGUCCACGCCGUAAACGAUGUCGACUUGGAGGUUGUGCCCUUGAGGCGUGGCUUCCGGAGCUAACGCGUUAAGUCGACCGCCUGGGGAGUACGGCCGCAAGGUUAAAACUCAAAUGAAUUGACGGGGGCCCGCACAAGCGGUGGAGCAUGUGGUUUAAUUCGAUGCAACGCGAAGAACCUUACCUGGUCUUGACAUCCACAGAACUUUCCAGAGAUGGAUUGGUGCCUUCGGGAACUGUGAGACAGGUGCUGCAUGGCUGUCGUCAGCUCGUGUUGUGAAAUGUUGGGUUAAGUCCCGCAACGAGCGCAACCCUUAUCCUUUGUUGCCAGCGGUCCGGCCGGGAACUCAAAGGAGACUGCCAGUGAUAAACUGGAGGAAGGUGAGGAUGACGUCAAGUCAUCAUGGCCCUUACGACCAGGGCUACACACGUGCUACAAUGGCGCAUACAAAGAGAAGCGACCUCGCGAGAGCAAGCGGACCUCAUAAAGUGCGUCGUAGUCCGGAUUGGAGUCUGCAACUCGACUCCAUGAAGUCGGAAUCGCUAGUAAUCGUGGAUCAGAAUGCCACGGUGAAUACGUUCCCGGGCCUUGUACACACCGCCCGUCACACCAUGGGAGUGGGUUGCAAAAGAAGUAGGUAGCUUAACCUUCGGGAGGGCGCUUACCACUUUGUGAUUCAUGACUGGGGUG
rnacentral:rRNA from 1 species